CGAUACUUGGUGUGAAUUGCAGAAUUCAGUGAAUCAUCGAAUCUUUGAACGCACAUUGCGCCCAUUAGUAUUCUAGUGGGCAUGCCUAUUCGAGCGUCAUUUCGACCCCUAAGCCCCUGUUGCUUAGUGUUGGGAAUCUACGGCGUAGUUCCUUAAAGUUAGUGGCGGAGUUAGGGUACACUCUCAGCGUAGUAAUAUCUCUCGCUCGUGUGGUGGCCUUAGCUGCUAGCCGUUAAAACCCCUAAUAUUUUUUAGUGGUUGAACCUCCGAAUUAAGGUAAGGGAAUACCAAUGCUGAACUUAAGCAUAUCAAUAAGCGGAGGAAGGAGUAUUUAUCACGAUUGUGACCCCAGGUCAGGCGGGGCUACCCGCUGAGUUUAAGCAUAUCAAUAAGCGGAGGAA
rnacentral:rRNA from 1 species